UACGGGGGGGGCAAGCGUUGUUCGGAAUUACUGGGCGUAAAGGGCUCGUAGGCGGCCAACUAAGUCCGACGUGAAAUCCCCAGGCUUAACCUGGGAACUGCGUCGGAUACUGGAUGGCUUGAAUUCGGGAGAGGGAUGCAGAAUUCCAGGUGUAGCGGUGAAAUGCGUAGGUAUCUGGAGGAAUACCGGUGGCGAAGGCGGGUCUCUGGGCCGAUACUGACGCUGAGGAGCGAAAGCGUGGGGAGCGAACAGG
rnacentral:rRNA from 1 species